GGAUUAGAUACCCUGGUAGUCCACGCAGUAAACGAUGAGAACUAGCUGUGAUGUGUAGGGAGCAAUCUCUGCAUGACGUAGCGAAGCUAACGCGUUAAGUUCUCCGCCUGGGGAGUACGGCCGCAAGGUUAAAACUCAAAGGAAUUGACGGGGGCCCGCACAAGCGGUGGAGCAUGUGGUUUAAUUCGAUGCAACCCGAAGAACCUUACCUACCCUUGACAUCCUUGGAAGAAGGCAGAGAUGCUUUUGUGCCGAAAGGAACCAAGAGACAGGUGCUGCAUGGCUGUCGUCAGCUCGUGCCG
rnacentral:rRNA from 1 species